rnacentral:rRNA from 1 species
UACGGAGGGUGCAAGCGUUAUCCGGAUUUACUGGGUUUAAAGGGUGUGUAGGCGGGUCUUUAAGUCAGUGGUGAAAUCUCCGAGCUUAACUUGGAAACUGCCAUUGAUACUAUUGAUCUUGAAUUUUGUUGAGGUGGGCGGAAUAUGUCAUGUAGCGGUGAAAUGCAUAGAUAUAACAUAGAACACCAAUUGCGAAGGCAGCUCACUAAGCAAACAUUGACGCUGAGGCACGAAAGCGUGGGGAUCAAACAGG